AACGUACGCUGGCGGCACGCCUAACACAUGCAAGUCGAACGAAGUAGCAAUACUUAGUGGCAGACGGGUGAGUAACAUGUAGGUAUCUGCCCUUUGGCCUGGAAUAACACGAGGAAACUUGUGCUAAUACCGGAUAAGUCUUUACGGAGAAAGCUUUAUGCACCAUUGGAUGAGCCUGCACUUGAUUAGUUUGUUGGUGGGGUAAUGGCCUACCAAGGCUGUGAUCAAUAGCUGAUUUGAGAGGAUGAUCAGCCACAUUGGGACUGAGACACGGCCCAAACUCCUACGGGAGGCAGCAGUGGGGAAUCUUGCACAAUGGAGGAAACUCUGAUGCAGCGAUGCCGCGUGAGUGAAGAAGGCCCUUGGGUUGUAAAGCUCUUUCGUCGGGGAAGAAAAUGACUGUACCCGAAUAAGAAGGUCCGGCUAACUUCGUGCCAGCAGCCGCGGUAAUACGAAGGGACCUAGCGUAGUUCGGAAUUACUGGGCUUAAAGAGUUCGUAGGUGGUUGAAAAAGUUAGUGGUGAAAUCCCAGAGCUUAACUCUGGAACUGCCAUUAAAACUUUUCAGCUAGAGUAUGAUAGAGGAAAGCAGAAUUUCUAGUGUAGAGGUGAAAUUCGUAGAUAUUAGAAAGAAUACCAAUUGCGAAGGCAGCUUUCUGGAUCAUUACUGACACUGAGGAACGAAAGCAUGGGUAGCGAAGAGGAUUAGAUACCCUCGUAGUCCAUGCCGUAAACGAUGUGUGUUAGACGUUGGAAAUUUAUUUUCAGUGUCGCAGGGAAACCGAUAAACACACCGCCUGGGGAGUACGACCGCAAGGUUAAAACUCAAAUGAAUUGACGGGGACCCGCACAAGUAGUGGAGCAUGUGGUUUAAUUCGAAGAUACGCGCAGAACCUUACCAACACUUGACAUGUUCGUCGCGACUCUAAGAGAUUAGAGUUUUCGGUUCGGCCGGACGAAACACAGGUGCUGCAUGGCUGUCGUCAGCUCGUGUCGUGAGAUGUUGGGUUAAGUCCCGCAACGAGCGCAACCCUCACUUUUAGUUGCCAUCAUUAAGUUGGGCACUCUGAAAGAACUGCCAGUGAUAAGCUGGAGGAAGGUGGGGAUGACGUCAAGUCCUCAUGGCCCUUACGUGUUGGGCUACACACGUGCUACAAUGGUAUCUACAACAGGAAGCAAGACUGCGAAGUUAAGCAAAUCCCUAAAAGAUACCUCAGUUCGGAUUGCACUCUGCAACUCGAGUGCAUGAAGCUGGAAUUACUAGUAAUCGUGGAUCAGCGUGCCACGGUGAAUGCGUUCCCGGGUCU
rnacentral:rRNA from 1 species